CUUUCCGGAAUAUGGGUGGGAAAUACAAACCGUUGAACGUGUUGUUCGUAAGACAUUUUACGAAGCAGAUUUUGUAAGAUUUAGGCAUCUAAAGCUGCUCAAGGUGGCUUGCUGCUUCAGACCAGACACCUACAGCUCGACUGGAUGUCCAGUUAUAGAAUGACAGCUACAGAAUGAUUCGUCGGGCUCAGGAACACAGUAAACUGGGCUAAACGUCUAAACCAUGAAGUUAAUUGUGGACAUAGUGUGGAUGGUGUGGGGUAUCGGGGCCUACGUCUAUGACUACUUCCACACCAGUGCCAUGGAGGAGCGCAUACACACUCUAGAGAGUGUCCUCAGCGUCCACCAGUUUGUCAUCAUGUUCCUCUCAGCAAGCCUCAUUGUGCUGAUUUCAUACAUCGUCUUCAAGAAACGCUAACCACCGCUGGACCCUCCAGGACCAAGCUGGAGCUUCAAUGAAUGAUCUUAUCAUUCUUCUCCAAGAGUUGCACUUUCCUAAACGUGGUAUCCUCAUGUAGCUGUAACACACAAAUUUGUGAUUCCCCACAUGUUUGUCCAAGAACAUGGAAAAAGUCAAAGUGAAAAAACAAAUGGUACUCCUAAUAACCACCUGGAAGACUUGGUAGACACCAAAACUAAAGCUGCUUUAGAUCUGAAAACAUCUGAAUACAUACGUCUUCCAAAACGCUAACCACUGCUGGACCCUCCAGGACCAGGCUGGAGCUUCCUAAACGUUGUAUCCUCAUGUGGCUGUAAUGCACAAAGGUGUGAUUCUCCACAAGAAUUUGGAGAGCAAGCCAUUAUACUGAGUAUUUGAGCUCAUCAUCACAGAGACAAGAUGUUAGCCUGGGAUUAUGACCAUGUUCCUCAUGUUCCUCCAGAGGACCAGAACUGGAUGUGGUUGUGUCAUUUCACAAACUGCACUUUUACCUUCUCAUAUAGACAACAUGAUCAUUCAAAUGGCUUUGGGGAAUCAGAACGGAGUCUGUGCACCAAUAAGCAUGGAAAAGGGGUAGGAGAAAAGAACCAGAAGAUCUGUGGUGCUGGUAGAUGCCAUAGCAACAGUGUACUUAUGAAAUGGUAUGAACUCAUGGGCCAAGAAGCCACGUUUUGAGCUGGAAUGGAACCUGCACUCAGAAAUCAUCUCAACAGGCCUUAUCAUGCUGAGCUCAUACAUUGUCUUUAAUAAAUGCUACUGCAAACGACUCCAGGACCAGGCUGGAGCUUCAAA